AAAACUGCAACUCUCUGCCUGUGUCUGCAGACACCAGGUAACGAUUCACUAGUACACUUUAUUUCCCAACAUUUAGGUUUGAAUGUUGUUUAAAACCUUCUCCUAUCAGGGUUUGGUUGUUUCCUUCGCUUUCCUUGUGUUAUCCCUUUUUUUUCCAUACCUGUGUGUUUGUGUGUGUGUGUGUGUGUGUGUGUGUGUGUGUGUGUGUGUCUGUGUGUCUGUGUGUCUAGACGUGUGCGUGGUUACUUAGUUCAUCUCCCGUCAACCCAUCCGCACAGGUGAGCCUCAUCAUCUCAUCAAUUUAUCAACCACCCACGCCAGUAAAUAAAACCCGGCUAAUCCCUCCGGUCUUCACCAGGUCGUACCAGUGCGGUAUCACCACCUGCGACUCCUAUCUGUUUGGAUUCAGCUCCAGCCUGCCUCUCCUCCUCAGCCACUACUGGCAUCCCCAGCUCGGCUCCGCCAGUCUCCCAGCGUCCCCUGCCCAGCUCCGUCGAACCCAUUCCUCAGCCUGCCUCCAAACCUGUCUCCAUAUCAACAAUAAAUUACUCUGUAAACCUCCA